rnacentral:rRNA from 1 species
GACGUAGGGUGCGAGCGUUGUCCGGAUUUAUUGGGCGUAAGGAGCUCGUAGGCGGCUCGUCGCGUCGACCGUGAAAACCCGCGGCUUAACUGCGGGCUUGCGGUUGAUACGGGCGGGCUAGAGUUCGGUAGGGGAGACUGGAAUUCCUGGUGUAGCGGUGAAAUGCGCAGAUACCAGGAGGAACACCGGUGGCGAAGGCGGGUCUCUGGGCCGAUACUGACGCUGAGGAGCGAAAGCGUGGGGAGCGAACAGG